AAGUCGUAACAAGGUUUCCGUAGGUGAACCUGCGGAAGGAUCAUUAAAAACUUUUAUCCGGGAAUUCGUUUCGUCUUCCCGGAUUAUUUGUAUUCAAAUCUCACUCUUUAUAAAUAUAUCAAUUUAUAUAAAACAAAAAUAAAAAAAGAAAACUUUCAACAACGGAUCUCUUGACUCUC
rnacentral:misc_RNA from 1 species